UUGAACGCUGGCGGCAGGCCUAACACAUGCAAGUCGAACGGUAACAGGAAGAAGCUUGCUUCUUUGCUGACGAGUGGCGGACGGGUGAGUAAUGUCUGGGAAACUGCCUGAUGGAGGGGGAUAACUACUGGAAACGGUAGCUAAUACCGCAUAACGUCGCAAGACCAAAGAGGGGGACCUUCGGGCCUCUUGCCAUCGGAUGUGCCCAGAUGGGAUUAGCUAGUAGGUGGGGUAACGGCUCACCUAGGCGACGAUCCCUAGCUGGUCUGAGAGGAUGACCAGCCACACUGGAACUGAGACACGGUCCAGACUCCUACGGGAGGCAGCAGUGGGGAAUAUUGCACAAUGGGCGCAAGCCUGAUGCAGCCAUGCCGCGUGUAUGAAGAAGGCCUUCGGGUUGUAAAGUACUUUCAGCGGGGAGGAAGGGAGUAAAGUUAAUACCUUUGCUAAUUGACGUUACCCGCAGAAGAAGCACCGGCUAACUCCGUG
rnacentral:rRNA from 1 species